rnacentral:sRNA from 1 species
GAACGGGGGAAUGGAACCUGGAGUUCAUUGAGGACUCUGCUUCCACUCCUUCUCUUAACCAGGAAUCUAGAGAAUGACAUGAAUUAUUGCUUUGGAAGAAAACCUCGCAUCUCCACAAGACCUUGCUUCCCAAAUAAGACAUGUCAGAUGAUGUUGAUAAUCCUCACUUCUGCCUUACAAAUCACUCAUAGGUGCAUCUGCAGGAUCUUACUUGCAUCCAGAGUGCUAGCUGCAAAAGUUUCUGGGAAUUGUACACUUAACUCUGAAGUUUUAUCUUUAAUAUAGGAAGUGCCGCGUAUGAUGCUGUCCUUGACAGAAAUGUGGCCAUUAAGAAGCUCAGCAGACCCUUUCAGAACCAAACACAUGCCAAGAGAGCGUACCGGGAGCUGGUCCUCAUGAAGUGUGUGAACCAUAAAAACAUUAUUAGUUUAUUAAAUGUCUUCACACCCCAGAAAACGCUGGAGGAGUUCCAAGAUGUUUACUUAGUAAUGGAACUGAUGGAUGCCAACUUAUGUCAAGUGAUUCAGAUGGAAUUAGACCACGAGCGAAUGUCUUACCUGCUGUACCAAAUGUUGUGUGGCAUUAAGCACCUCCAUUCUGCUGGAAUUAUUCACAGGGAUUUAAAACCAAGUAACAUUGUAGUCAAGUCUGAUUGCACAUUGAAAAUCCUGGACUUUGGACUGGCCAGGACAGCAGGCACAAGCUUCAUGAUGACUCCAUAUGUGGUGACACGUUAUUACAGAGCCCCUGAGGUCAUCCUGGGGAUGGGCUACAAGGAGAACGGGGGAUGUUAAGUCCUGGGCUGUAUAUUCUGUUCCACUUGUUUGUUUGUCUGUCUCUGCACCAUGAACACCCUUUCUUAAUGAAUAUAAAUGUAUGCUCUGCACUUAUAUCAGCUUUAAAAUAGAGAUGCCAAAUUACAUGAUCUCCAAGGCCUCUUCUCAUUUUCAAAAUACUAUCACAUGCUGAGAGAAUCAAAUCCAGCAUUUUUGAGGUCAGAAUAUCAUACAACUGAAGAUAUUGACCAGUGGAAUAAGGUAAUUGAACAACUAGGAACACCAUGUCCAGAAUUCAUGAAGAAAUUGCAACCCACAGUAAGAAACUAUGUGGAGAAUCGGCCCAAGUAUGCAGGACUCACCUUCCCCAAGCUCUUCCCAGAUUCCCUCUUCCCAGCGGACUCCGAGCACAAUAAACUCAAAGCCAGCCAAGCCAGGGACUUGUUGUCAAAGAUGCUAGUGAUUGACCCAGCAAAAAGAAUAUCAGUGGACGAUGCCUUACAGCAUCCCUACAUCAACGUCUGGUAUGACCCAGCCGAAGUGGAGGCGCCUCCACCUCAGAUAUAUGACAAGCAGUUGGAUGAAAGAGAACACACAAUCGAUGAAUGGAAAGAACUUAUCUACAAGGAAGUAAUGAACUCAGAAGAAAAGACUAAAAAUGGCGUAGUAAAAGGACAGCCUUCUCCUUCAGGUGCAGCAGUGAACAGCAGUGAGAGUCUCCCUCCAUCCUCGUCUGUCAAUGACAUCUCCUCCAUGUCCACCGACCAGACCCUGGCAUCUGACACUGACAGCAGCCUGGAAGCCUCGGCAGGACCCCUGGGUUGUUGCAGGUGACUAGCCGCCUGCCUGCGAAACCCAGCGUUCUUCAGGAGAUGAUGUGAUGGAACACACACACACACGCAGACACUCACGCACACACACAAUUGCAGACACACAACAUCAAGAAAACAGCAAGGGAGAGAAUCCAAGCCUAAAAUUAAAUAAAUCUUUCAGCCUGCUUC